AGGGUUUGAUCCUGGCUCAGGGUUAACGCUGGCGGCGUGCCUUACACAUGCAAGUCGAACGGGGCAUACAGCGAUGUAUGCUUAGUGGCGAACGGGUGAGGAAGACGCAGGGACCUACCGAGCAGAGGGGGAUACCCGCUGGAAACGGCGGAUAAAACCGCAUACGCCCGUGUGAAGAGCGCGGGGAAAAGCGCUACGGUGUUACUGGUCGAGGGACCUGCGGCCCAUCAGGUAGUUGGGGAGGUAACGGCUCACCAAGCCGACGACGGGUAUCUGGCGUGAGAGCGCGAACAGGCACAAGGACACUGAGAGACGGGUCCUACUCCUACGGGAGGCAGCAGUGGGGAAUUUUGGACAAUGGGCGCAAGCCUGAUCCAGCGACGCCGCGUGUCGGACGGAGUCCUUCGGGAUGUAAACGACUUUUGAUGGAGACGAAAGGGCAGCUCAGGGAAUGGGGCUGCGAUGACGGUAUCCAAUGAAUAAGCCCCGGCUAACUACGUGCCAGCAGCCGCGGUAAGACGUAGGGGGCAAGCGUUACCCGGAAUUACUGGGCGUAAAGGGAGCGUAGGCGGGAGGUCAAGUCCGGUGUGAAAGUCCCUGGCUCAACCAGGGGAUAGGGCUGGAAACUGACAAUCUUGAGUACAGCAGAGGAAGAGGGAAUUACCGGUGUAGGGGUGAAAUCCGUAGAGACCGGUAGGAAGGCCAGUGGCGAAGGCGCUUUUCUGGGCUGUUACUGACGCUGAGGCUCGAAAGCCAGGGGAGCAAACCGGAUUAGAUACCCGGGUAGUCCUGGCCGUAAACGAUGCUCACUAGGUGUGGGGCACAGAGCGUGUUCUGCGCUGAAGCAAACGCAAUAAGUGAGCCGCCUGGGGAGUACGUCCGCAAGGAUGAAACUCAAAGGAAUUGACGGGGGCCCGCACAAGCGGUGGAGCGUGUGGUUUAAUUCGACGUUAAGCGAAGAACCUUACCAGGUCUUGACAUAUCCGUGGUAGUGAACUGAAAGGGGAACGACGGAGGCGAAUGCCUUCGAGCGGAUACAGGUGGUGCAUGGUCGUCGUCAGCUCGUGCCGUGAGGUGUUGGGUUAAGUCCCGCAACGAGCGCAA
rnacentral:rRNA from 1 species